rnacentral:rRNA from 1 species
UACAGAGGGUGCGAGCGUUAAUCGGAAUUACUGGGCGUAAAGCGCGCGUAGGCGGCGUGUUAAGUUGGAUGUGAAAGCCCCGGGCUUAACCUGGGAUGGUCAUUCAAAACUGGCAUGCUAGAGUGUGGUAGAGGACAAUGGAAUUCCUAGUGUAGCGGUGAAAUGCGUAGAUAUUAGGAGGAACAUCAGUGGCGAAGGCGAUUGUCUGGGCCAACACUGACGCUGAGGUGCGAAAGCGUGGGUAGCGAAAGGG